CACAAUUGGACCACAUUGGAUGAGCAGACGUAGCCAAACUUGUUCCAGACGAUCCGGAUACGUACAAUUAAGGAUCUAAUGACCAUAUCAGCGUAGUUGGUAGAGUUUAAUGGCCACGAUGUACACUUCCCUGAGUAUGAUGUCCAAACUGAAACAUGGAGACAAGUAAAAUCGCCAUUCUCAUAUAUUUUACUCUUUUUUCAAUAUCCUGCAACUAAGAAUAAGUUUAGAAAAAAAAGGAAGUGAUUCAAAGGUCACAAAUAACAUGGUGAAAGGACAGCAGCUAUGUACCCGCUGAUCAUCCUCUUCGAAACCUCUUUUGUU
rnacentral:lncRNA from 1 species